AGCGAACGCUGGCGGCAGGCUUAACACAUGCAAGUCGAGCGGCCGUAGCAAUACGGCAGCGGCAGACGGGAGAGUAACACGUGGGAACGUACCCUUCAGUACGGAACAACCAAGGGAAACUUUGGCUAAUACCGUAUACGUCCGUAAGGAGAAAGAUUUAUCGCUGAAGGAUCGGCCCGCGUCUGAUUAGCUAGUUGGUGAGGUAACGGCUCACCAAGGCGACGAUCAGUAGCUGGUCUGAGAGGAUGAUCAGCCUCACUGGGACUGAGACACGGACCAGACUCCUACGGGAGGCAGCAGUGGGGAAUAUUGGACAAUGGGCGCAAGCCUGAUCCAGCCAUGCCGCGUGGAUGAUGAAGGCCCUAGGGUUGUAAAGUCCUUUUAACGGGGAAGAUAAUGACGGUACCCGUAGAAUAAGCCCCGGCUAACUUCGUGCCAGCCGCCGCCGUAACAC
rnacentral:rRNA from 1 species